AAGUGCAGACUGUAUAGUGAAUGUAAUUGAUUCACUUGAUUUUGUGACUUGACCACGUGAAGAUUAAUUGAAAAUGCCAAUUUAUAUUAUACAUCACACUCAGUAUUGGCCUUCAGAUUGCAGUCAAUUCAAUUAACUAUUGACCUACUCUAUUAAUGCUGCACACAAUAUUGGACAUAGGCGCUGCUUAUGAUAGUCUUCACAAAGAACUGAACGAAAUUGCAAAACUAGAACGUCGGAAAAGCUGUGCUGUACAUCACCAUCAUGACGAGCAACAUCAUCGACAUUUGGAUCGCAGAAAACAACAUGAUAUGAAUGUACUAUCAAUUUUAAAGGACAAGAGUAAACCUAAAAAAGAGGCAAAAACAACGACUAACCAAGCUACCCAAAAUGAAUUGAGUAAAUAUUCAAAAAAUGCCACAACUUUAACAAGAUCUUCUCUAAAAUCCACAGGUGUUGGCGUAGAAACGCGGCAAUAUUGUGUUUACAAAAAAGACUGCCAUUGCAAUAAAACACACCAAGACAAACACUGGAAAUACUAAUGUGUAUACCU